rnacentral:lncRNA from 1 species
AGGAUUUUGCAGGAAAUAAUGUAAAUCAAGCCUUUUGCCCUUAAUGACCCACAAUAAAAUGCUCUUGUUACCCAGAUCUGCAGGCAACCCAGUGCAGGUUGCCAUGGAAAUGCCCAGCUGCUCCUCUGUGCAGUUGCUUAAUGAUCAGUGUGAUGUCAGGCUCUUGAGAGAAGCACAGGCUCAGACAACUCUUUACAGCCACAGGGACAGUCCACUCGGGACUGCAGUUACGUCUGAGUGGGAGCCCCUGUGUCCAGCAGAAGCAAGACAGAAACAGGGCGGCCAUGGCACGUUGCUGCAGAUGCCGUUUCACCAACCUGUGACCUGGCUCCCGCUCUACACAGGUGGGAUAUGCAGGCCUGCUGGAAUCAUGUACAGCGCUAGGAGGAAAGUCACAAUAUGUUUUCGCAGCCUGAGUUCUCCUGAGGUUCACAGUCUAGCUGGGGAGACAGACAUGACACCUCCAUAGGCUGAGUGAGAAGAGCUACUAGUGGCACCUACAAAGUACUGAAGGCACACAGAGGUUGAACCUUCCAGCUGUGGACCUACAACUCCUGAUCAAAAAGGUUGUGCAGUUUCUGGUUUGAUCUCCAGGAAGCAGAGAUGGAUGCGUAGAUUCUACAAUGGAGAGAGGACCGGUCCAUUCCCAAAGUUCCAUCCUGGACAUUGAAUAGCAUCUUGGGAGGAACCAAAAUGGGAUCCCACUCUGGGUAAGACAUGAUAACACCAGCAGUGAGAUUCCUGUGGAUAGGGGAGCUUUCUUGGGCAGGGGUGAAGAGACACAGAAGAAAAGCAGGGAAGUGUGAAUGCUAGGGAUACAAAGAGAAGCCCCGGCAGGGAGCCUCACACAGAUGCUUAAUAAAUGCUUUUUGAUUUGAC